UUUGCCUACGGGACGCAGCAGUGGGGAAUAUUGCACAAUGGGGGAAACCCUGAUGCAGCGACGCCGCGUGAGCGAAGAAGUAUUUCGGUAUGUAAAGCUCUAUCAGCAGGGAAGAAAAAUGACGGUACCUGAGUAAGAAGCACCGGCUAAAUACGUGCCAGCAGCCGCGGUAAUACGUAUGGUGCAAGCGUUAUCCGGAUUUACUGGGUGUAAAGGGAGCGUAGACGGCGCGGCAAGUCUGAAGUGAAAGGCAGGGGCUUAACCCCUGAACUGCUUUGGAAACUGCCAUGCUAGAGUGCUGGAGG
rnacentral:rRNA from 1 species